rnacentral:rRNA from 1 species
AUUGAACGCUGGCGGCAGGCCUAACACAUGCAAGUCGGGCGAGUGGCGGACGGGUGAGUAAUGUAUGGGGAACUGCCCGAUGGAGGGGGAUAACUACUGGAAACGGUAGCUAAUACCGCAUACCAUCAGAUGAACCCAUAUGGGAUUAGCUAGUAGGUGAGGUAACGGCUCACCUAGGCGACGAUCCCUAGCUGGUCUGAGAGGAUGACCACCCACACUGUGACUGAGACACGGUCCAGACUCCUACGCGGGGAAGCAGUGGGGAAUAUUGCACAAUGGGCGCAAGCCUGAUGCAGCCAUGCCGCGUUUAUGAAGAAGGCCUUCGGGUUGUAAAGUACUUUCAGUCGGGAGGCGUUACUGUCAGAAGAAGCACCGGCUAACUCCGUGCCAGCCGCCGCGGUAAUUC